GGAGGAGGCAAGCGUUGUUCGGAAUUACUGGGCUUAAAGCGUGUGUAGGCGGGAUGGAAGGUAUCGUGUGAAAGCCCCCGGCUCAACCGGGGAACGGCACGGUAAACCACCAUUCUUGAGGCCAGCAGGGGAACCUGGAACUUUGGGUGGAGCGGUGAAAUGCGUAGAUAUCCAAGGGAACGCCGGUGGCGAAAGCGGGGUUCUGGGCUGGUUCUGACGCUGAGACACGAAAGCGUGGGGAGCAAACUAGGAUUAGAUACCCUGGUAGUCCACGCCGUAAACGAUGCGCACUAGGUAUCAGCGCCUCUGACGGGGUUGGUGCCGAAACAAAAGCGAUAAGUGCGCCGCCUGGGGAGUACGGCCGCAAGGCUA
rnacentral:rRNA from 1 species